GCAGCAGCCGCGGGAAUACGUAGGGUGCAAGCGUUAAUCGGAAUUACUGGGCGUAAAGCGUGCGCAGGCGGUUAUAUAAGUCAGAUGUGAAAUCCCCGGGCUCAACCUGGGAACUGCAUUUGAGACUGUAUGGCUAGAGUGUGUCAGAGGGGGGUAGAAUUCCACGUGUAGCAGUGAAAUGCGUAGAUAUGUGGAGGAAUACCGAUGGCGAAGGCAGCCCCCUGGGAUAACACUGACGCUCAUGCACGAAAGCGUGGGGAGCAAACAGGAUUAGAUACCCCUGUAGUCCCUGUCUCUUAUAC
rnacentral:rRNA from 1 species